CCUACGGGUUGCAGCAGUGAGGAAUAUUGGACAAUGGGUGAGAGCCUGAUCCAGCCAUCCCGCGUGUAGGAAGACGGCCUUAUGGGUUGUCAACUACUUUUAUCUGGGGAUAAACCUACUUACGAGUAAGUAGCUGAAGGUACCAGAAGAAUAAGCACCGGCUAACUCCGUGCCAGCAGCCGCGGUAAUACGGAGGGUGCGAGCGUUAUCCGGAUUUAUUGGGUUUAAAGGGUCCGUAGGCGGGAUAAUCAGUCAGUGGUGAAAUCCCUUGGCUUAACUAAGGAACUGCCAUUGAUACUGUUAUUCUUGAGUAAGGUUGCAAUGGCUGGAAUGUGUAGUGUAGCGGUGAAAUGCUUAGAUAUUACGCAGAACGCCAAUUGCGAAGGCAGGUCACUAAGCCUUAACUGACGCUGAUGGACGAAAGCGUGGGGAGCGAACAGGAUUAGAUACCCCAGUAGUC
rnacentral:rRNA from 1 species